rnacentral:rRNA from 1 species
CACGGAGUUAGCCGAUCCUUAUUCUUACGAUACCGUCAAGCUCCUUCACGAAGGAGUGUUUCUUCUCGUAUAAAAGCAGUUUACAAUCCAUAGGACCGUCAUCCUGCACGCGGCAUGGCUGGAUCAGGCUUGCGCCCAUUGUCCAAUAUUCCUCACUGCUGCCUCCCGUAGGAGUCUGGUCCGUGUCUCAGUACCAGUGUGGGGGAUCUCCCUCUCAGGACCCCUACCCAUCGUUGCCUUGGUAAGCCGUUACCUUACCAACAAGCUAAUGGGACGCAUGCUCAUCUUUCACCGUUGUGACUUUAAUAGUGGUUUCAUGCGAAACUGCUAUACUAUGAGGUAUUAAUCCAAAUUUCUCUGGGCUAUCCCUCUGUGAAAGGUAGAUUGCAUACGCGUUACGCACCCGUGCGCCGGUCUCUAGGUCCGAAAACCUAUACCCCUCGACUUGCAUGUGUUAAGCCUGCCGCUAGCGUUCAUCCUGAGCCAGGAUCAAACU